CGGAUAGUAGCGUAAUAGGUAACGCCUCUAAUUUGGGAUUAGAAGAUUAUAAGUUCGAUUCUUGUCUAUCCGA
rnacentral:tRNA from 3 species